GGGGUGGUGAGAAGGCCCGGGGGCCAGCAGCAGGAUCUGGUAGACUCUGGGGAUGCAGCGUUCACUCCCUGCCAGCCAGGCGGCUGUGCGGCCUCAGAGCCAGCGGGCUGCUGAGGGGCUACGGGCCUCUGGCUGCACUGUCUGAGCUCUCCCUGGAUCUCCUGGCUUAGCACCUCUCUGCCCCUCCUCUGGGCCACUGCUGGGAUAGCAUGUGCUCUGUGUGGAAUAACAAGGCUGGCUGGACAACACUGACUAGGCCUGCAGUGGGAGUGCCUUCAAGGCCCGGCCAGAAGGAAGCAGGAGUCCUAAGGGACCUGACCAAGGGAGAAUCAGAUUCUUCCGGAGAACUGCAUUCCUGGGCUGGUGCUGAGGUGCUACAUCCUCCUUUCUUUCCUCAUGAAGAAGUUUUGAGAAAAGCUGAAUCACUCAGCCUAAAGAAAGCCCGAGGAAGUAUAAAGAAGUCCUGGAAAUCCCCUGGAAAAAAGUGCCAGGUAGUGUUUGAGUUCGUCUUUGUUGUCAAGUGUUUGGCUCUGUCACAGUUGUGGCAGCUCGAGGUUCCCGGCAGAGGAGCAGUGGGGAGUAGGAAGUGGAGUUUUGCAUACAUGAAAUCUGGUGCAGAGGUGGGAAAAGGAGGGCAGGCUGGUCUCGAAGCUCUUGGAGCAGGGACACGGGACAUGAGCAGGGACACAAGAGCAGCAGCACCUAGGGAAUGCGGCUGAGUUCUCAGCCAAUAGAGGAUGGAAGCUGGAGAGCUGAAGGCCACACACCAGUGUUCCAACUUGGCCAGCCGGACUGCAGACAGGCAGGCAGGGCAGAGUAGGCAGCUGCUCCAAGCACAUUCCAGGAAGUUGUGAGUUUGUGGGAAGAAAAGUGGCAAGUAAACUCCCCCCAAGUAGAGAUAAGCCAGGUGAUCUGAGGGAACUGAAAGCCAGCCCAGGAGUAAGGUUCAAGAAUGAGCAAUGGCUGGGGGCAAGACCCCAGACAAGCAAUCUAAACUAGGACUUGGGAUAGUUCUUCUGAAAGGGAAGAUCUUAACCCCAAAGCAGCUUUCCUUCCUGCUGGAAACCCUCUUAGAUAAGAUAAGAUGAAUGCGAUUCUUUGGUGACAAACAUACUACCCAAAUAAUUGUUGGAAAAUAAUACAUUCUUCACCACCUCUCACCUGGACUAUUUGUUGCACAGCUUCUUACCUUGUCUCCCGGCUUUUGGUCUUCCUCAGUCUUCCCUCAUCCACUUGCCAAAGCAGUUCUUCUACAACACAAGUCUGAUCACAUCUCCCCUCUGCCGAGGCCUCCCACCAGCUGCCUAUUGUUCACACCAGGUUCUGGAAGAUGUUUUGGUGAACCCACGUUCUGUGAGUCUAAUUCUGUGAGGUAAACAGCCAUGAAAGGGUGUGUAGUUAGGUAAAUUGGGAAUUCUACAGACUAUAUUCUCUGUUUUAAGACAUUUCCGAUGGAGAUGCAUUUUCAAGGUUCUGAGAAGUACUGUAACAAUUUGUUGAAAAAAUAUCAAUAAAAUACAAACAUUUUAAAAUCAUGGUUCUGUUCUCUCUCUGUUCAGAAAUAUUGAACUAUAGAGGAAAAAUAUCCACCUUGCUUAACAUAAAGCACAUGUGGUCUUUUGGGCCGAGCCCUUCCUUGUCUGCUGUUUAUUUCUCAUCAGUCCUCCUCCUGAGUUCAGAAUCUACUCUUCUCAACAAAAACAGUUUGUGCAACUUCCCUAACCCCUGUCUGUAAAAUGUUACUUAUUUUUAAAAAGCUUGCUCAGAUAUAACCUCUAUAGGAAGCUGACUUUUUUUCCUCCAGUACUGGGCACAGAACUCAAGACCUUGUACUUUCAAGGCAGACGCAGUGCUACUGAGCUAAA
rnacentral:lncRNA from 1 species